UACGUAGGGGGCGAGCGUUGUCCGGAUUUAUUGGGCGUAAAGAGCGUGUAGGCGGCCAGGUAGGUCUGGUGUGAAAACUCGAGGCUUAACCUCGAGAUGUCAUCGGAAACCAUUUGGCUAGAGUCCGGAAGAGGAGAGUGGAAUUCCUGGUGUAGCGGUGAAAAUGCGCAGAUAUCAGGAGGAACACCUAUGGCGAAGGCAGCUCGCUGGGACGGUACUGACGCUGAGGCGCGAAAGCGUGGGGAGCGAACAGG
rnacentral:rRNA from 1 species